UGGGGAAUAUUGCACAAUGGGCGCAAGCCUGAUGCAGCCAUGCCGCGUGUAUGAAGAAGGCCUUCGGGUUGUAAAGUACUUUCAGCGGGGAGGAAGGGAGUAAAGUUAAUACCUUUGCUCAUUGACGUUACCCGCAGAAGAAGCACCGGCUAACUCCGUGCCAGCAGCCGCGGUAAUACGGAGGGUGCAAGCGUUAAUCGGAAUUACUGGGCGUAAAGCGCACGCAGGCGGUUUGUUAAGUCAGAUGUGUAAUCCCCGGGCUCAACCUGGGAACUGCAUCUGAUACUGGCAAGCUUGAGUCUCGUAGAGGGGGGUAGAAUUCCAGGUGUAGCGGUGAAAUGCGUAGAGAUCUGGAGGAAUACCGGUGGCGAAGGCGGCCCCCUGGACGAAGACUGACGCUCAGGUGCGAAAGCGUGGGGAGCAAACAGG
rnacentral:rRNA from 1 species